GUAAUAGCUCACUGGUCGAGUCGGCCUGCGCGGAAGAUGUAACGGGGCUAAACCAUGCACCGAAGCUGCGGCAGCGAACGUAUCACUUAAAGCGAUUCAGCGGGUUACGAUUGACGGAGCGAAGCGACGUCAAAGCGUAUACAAAGUCGAGUCGGUUUAAGGAUACGUUCGUUGGGUAGGGGAGCGUUCUGUAAGCCUGUGAAGGUGGCCUGUGAGGGUUGCUGGAGGUAUCAGAAGUGCGAAUGCU
rnacentral:rRNA from 2 species